CCUACGGGAGGCAGCAGUGGGGAAUAUUGCACAAUGGGGGAAACCCUGAAGCAGCAACGCCGCGUGAGUGAAGAAGUAUUUCGGUAUGUAAAGCUUUAUCAGCAGGGAAGAAGAUGACGGUACCUGAGUAAGAAGCCCCGGCUAACUACGUGCAGGCAGCCGCGGUAAUACGUAGGGGGCAAGCGUUAUCCGGAGUUACUGGGUGUAAAGGGAGCGUAGACGGUGGGACAAGUCUGAAGUGAAAGUUCGGGGCUCAACCCCGGGACUGCUUUUGAAACUGGCUGACUGGAGUGCAGGAGAGGUAGGCGGAAUUCGUGGUGUAGCGGUGAAAUGCGUAGAUAUUAGGAAGAACACCGGUGGCGAAGGCAGCUUGCUGGACAGUAACUGACGUUGAGGCUCGAAAGCGUGGGGAGCAAACAGGAUUAGAUACCCGAGUAGUC
rnacentral:rRNA from 1 species